CAAAAUUCCAUUCUCACCCACACUCUUCUCAUUGCUUUACUCUCUCUUUCUCUCUUUAAGAAGGCGAUGAAGAUUGUUGAAUUUCUUCAUCUAAAUGAUGAAUUUCUCAAUUUUACUUCUUCUUGGAUAGAAAUCAAGUUUUUUUUAUGUGUAUGCAGCAAGACAAUGGUGAAGAUGACAGUGGAAAAUGAGGAGAGACAUUGCUAUGCUUCUUGAAUCUCAUCCUGAUGUAUUCGGCUUACUAUAUUGACACAAAUCAAGGCUGCUGAAUUCCUGUCCAGUUUGGUCAUUCUGUUUUUAUUUUUAAAAAAAAGAAAUGGAUUUUACUUAGUCCUUUCCUCAUUCACCUCUGCUCGAUUCGUCGGAGUUUUUGGAAUCCCAUUUCAGUGGUGGAAGCUCUUCCUCGCUGCUCUGCUCGUCCAGUUUCAGCUUGCUGCCUUCGAAAGGGCUCGUGCCGUUAAGUUUCUCGUAGAGUUGAUGGAUCCUGUUGCUCGGAUGGUUGGCAAGGCUGAUGCAGUUUUUAUCAAAUCUCACAACCAUUCACGAGGGAAGAGCAACAAUUUGUGAGGAAAGAUGAUGAUCUCAAAUGCUUUUCGAGAAUUGACUAUUUAUUGUUCCUUUCAGGUAAGACUUGCAAACAAUUUUAUGAAGUGCAGCUCUCCUCUUCGAUUCACUGUCUCAUGAUAGAUUAGAGAAAAGAGUCUUGUUUGUCUGAGGUUGUUGUGAAGAAUUCAGAAGUCCAAGAAUUCGACGAAUCCGUACGUUGAUCUCAGACUCCAGCCUUGGGCAAGGGGCACACACAUACUCAUGAGGAAUCUAGUAUAAACACCGAAUGUCUUAUGCAUCGAGCUUUUUUUUCUUUUUUUUUGAGAAUCGAUCUUUUAAUACACAACUAACAAAUUUACUAGGUGUGAAUGUUCAACUGCUACUUAUUGAUAUUGUCACUACAUUGGAUUUGAGCUCUCUAUAAAUGUGAUACUCCUAAAAGUUUUUAUGUUAAAGAUUUCCUUUGUUUGGA